rnacentral:rRNA from 1 species
UACGUAGGGGGCGAGCGUUGUCCGGAAUCAUUGGGCGUAAAGCGCGUGUAGGCGGCUCGAUAAGUCCGGUGUGAAACCUUGGGGCUCAAUCCCAAGCCUGCACUGGAUACUGUCGAGCUAGAGUCCGGGAGGGGAAAGCGGAAUUCCACGUGUAGCGGUGAAAUGCGUAGAGAUGUGGAGGAACACCAGUGGCGAAGGCGGCUUUCUGGUCUGUAACUGACGCUGAGGCGCGAAAGCGUGGGGAGCAAACAGG